GAGUCAUUUUGUCUUUCCCAACCUCAAAGGGGUGAGGAAGGGCAAUCCUGUUAUGUGCACAGAAUGAGAGAACUCCAGGCUAUUUGUGAAAAGUUCAAAUCCCUGCCCUAGUUACGUAUUCUGGUAAGAGCUACUAAGAAAAUACUACAUUCUCCAUCUCAUUACGAUAAAUUAUAUCAACUGUAAUAUUUAUCCUUGUGAUUUCUAUCUAAUGGCUUCCUAUUGAUUUCUAGUAACCAGAGAAAGCUUUUCUUACCCAUUUAAAUAUGGGGAGAUAACUAAAUGCUCCCUGUCAACUUUUCUUCUCUGCAUUAAACCCCUUCCCAUGCACCCCCUCCCCUACUUUCUUCCUAUGAUGUAACUUCCAACCCUUUACCAUCUGGUCACUAUCUACUUGGUUAUAUCUGACUGUUAUGUGAAUGUGAUGGGGAAAAAAAAAUAGAAAAGGGGGUUUCUUUUAGGGAUAAGUCAAAGAUGACUGUUUGUGUAACCCUUUAUUUUUGUUCACUGGCACCACCUACAAAAGAGCAGCAGUUUUUCAACCUUUGGCAACAACAGAAUCACCUGCAGAAACAAAGUGGUGAGGUCCAGGCUUCUCCACCAGCGACUUUGAUUCAACUGGCUUUGCCUGGGCCUGGGUAUCUGUACUGUUUUGCAGUUUUGUUAUCUAUAGCUACAUAACAAACCAACCCCAAAUUGAGGAGCUUAAAGCAAAAAUAGUCAUUUUACCAUUAUCUUUCCUGGUCCUGGAGGCCGACUAGAAUCAAAUAUAUAAAAAACAAAUGAACAUUUUAAGAGAAUUUUAUGGGCAAACAAAAGCCACCAGCUUGGAGUAAAAGAGACUGAACCCAUUUGGUAUUUAAAGCAAACUUUGGCUCCCCCAAUAUUUUAUAGGUAGGGGGGAGGCUGAGGGCUCUGCUUAGCACCCAAGGAGACCAUAUUCCUUUUUAGAUUAGGCAAAGGAGGACUGUGAAAAAGUGGACCUCUCAGUGGGCAGAACCAAGGACCACGGAGAAGAGUGGACUGGGAGUUUCUGUUGGGGAAAAGAAUCGGGGUGCUAAAUGUGCCCCACCCUUAGGACAAGGGGCUGCUCACCAUACCUGCCCAGUGGGUCUUCAGAUUUACUGGGGGGGGGGGGGUCAGUGACUGGUAAAUGACUUCCCAUGCAUCCACUUCCCAAUGGGAGUGUUAAUUGUGUCCCUGUCCCUAACUGAAUAUUGAGUUUGUGUGUGGGAGCAAGUGACUUAAUUUUUCAGGUGUCCCCCAUCUAAAGGAGGCAGGCACAUCCAAACCUUCUAUAGCGGUGCUUGUGCCUUAUGCACCAGUCCUGGACUUUGAGCUCAGAGCAGCACCUGCAGGGGAAUUGGGGGUUGUCUCCCUUGGGGAGGGAUAAGUGUCCUCUUAGAUGGGCAGGGUAGGGAAAUGCGUGUUUGGUGUGCAGAGUACAGACUAUGGUGGAUUAUGUUAAUAUUUACCAAAUAUUGUGGCACCUUUCUCUGCAGGGCCUCUCCCUGUGGUGGGAGGGCUCUACAUCCUGGUCCUUUUGUGUUCAGUGUUACAUUUGACUUGCUUUGACCAAUGACAUGUGAGUGUCAGAGGUGACAGGAGCCACUUUUGAGCAGAAGGGUUAAGAAUCAUGGUGUUCACCUUUCCCUCUGCUAUGACACCUGACAAUGUUCCAGAUAGAAGCUGCUUUCCCAUUAGCUGUGCUGGAAUAAAGAUGGCACAGAACAAAGCCACAGCCAGCCCAUAACGAAUGCAGCAUAUGAAAAAUUAAACUUAUGUUGUAAGACCCUGGAUGAUAAUAUUAAUGGAGAGGGCUUGGCACCCUGACAGCCCUGAGGAGCCUUGGGUCCCUCUUGCAUGAUGGCUACCAGCAGCAAAGGGACAUAGCCUUUCAACUGCCCAAUUUUCUUGUCCUCUCUGAGGAAGACUCAUUCCCUUCACAUUGAUGCCUGCCAUCAACAGUAGGUGAUAGAGAGCCUCCUGGAGAGUGCCAGUCUCCAGAGAGCCUCCUGUUGACAGUUUUCAUCUCUGUAGAGCAGAGAAUGUGGGAAGAUCUUUGGUAUUCUAGGUUCUGGGCUAAUGAAAGCUUGCUGGACAUAGUCAGGUAUUUCAAGAUGGUGGCCAUUCAGAGGGUCCUUUUGUCCUUACUUGCUGGGGUUUUCUGUUGCCCUGGUGACAUCUCAGUCUUGGCUUUCUCAUUACAUGAUGAAGACAUUGGUGGUGACAAUGGAAAGGAUGAGAAGAUGAAAGAGGUCAUACCAUACCUGGUUCUAUGCAGCAGAACUGAGGCUCAAUAUUGAGGUAAAUUCAAGAUACUUGUCUCCUGAAAUCUGGACCAGCCUUAAUCAUCCAAUAGAACCAGCAGACCAAUAGAAUGUGGCCAAAACAACAGUGCCUGCCUUUCAAAGCUAUGUCGGAAGAAGCCUUGCAGCUCCUGCAUUGGUCUCUUAGAAAACUCCCUCAAGACUCCAACUUACUGUGUAAGAAUUGUGGUUACCCUGAGACCACCAUGCUGUCAUAGUUGCAUUCAAGUGCUCCAGUUGAUAGUCCAGCUGAGCUGAGCCUUCCAGCCAUUCUUGCCAAGGCCCCCAAAAUAUGAGUGAAACUGUCUUAGACUCUCAGUCCAGUAUCCUCACCAUCCGAAUAUCACAGAUUGACUUCAGUUAAUGCCAUGUGGAACUGAAAGGUCCUCCAGCUAAAUUUGGCCUGAAUUCCAGACCCACAAAGUCAUGAGAUAUAAUAAAAUGGUGUUAUCUUAAGACAUGAAAAUAAUGGAACAUGCACAUAUGCACUUAAUACUCAGUCCUGGGUGCCUGGUUUUCCUUUUUUCUUAACAUGGCUCCUUCUUAUUGCAUGCCUGGCUGCUCUAACCAGAUUUCAUGAGUUGGGAGGUAUUAGCCUGGGACCUCCACCUUCAACAAGGAUGGUCCAGUUAAACUCUUCAUUCAAACAGGGUUUGGCAUAUGCUGAGGGUCCAAUUUUGUUCUCAGCUCAAGUCCAACAAGUAAUCAAUCUAGUGCUUAGUGAGGACCUCCAUAGGGAGAGAACUAUGCUGGAUGGUUAGGUAAGAGGUCUUGCUACAUAAGGUAAAACAGCUCACUACGGUUUAACACUCACAUGCUUAAUUAAUUGUGUUUCUUACAGUUAACAUUGUGAGGUAGGCAUUAUUUUAUAACAUAAACAAGUGAACUGAGGUCAGGCUGUACAACAGUAAGCUCCAGAAAUGAGUUUUGGACACCUAGCAGGCUUAUCCACAAACCAGGCUACCUUGGAUGUUAAAGCCUUAAGAGACAGAUGCAAACCUUCAUUUUACAAAUGAGAAGCUUGAGGACCAGGAAGAUGGAGUAGUAUUGCAGCUGUGUUCUAUCACUAAUGGGGAAUUCUCUAGCCAAUACAACUCCAUCCUGGCCCUAAAGGGUCUCUAGAGUAUAGGCUAAAACCAUGUUGAGGAAGUGUUUUUAGAACUGUUGCUUUAGAGACGGAGGUAGAAGAGAUGAUGUCUGUACUGCCCUGUCUUAUAUAUUCCCAGAGAAUGCAAGCCUCUGGUUAGCCUCCUGUUUAGCUCCUGGUUGAGAUGUGGGGGCUUUAAGGUGCCUGAUGAACAGUUUGCAGGCCCAAAGCGCUGGAUUCGUAGUAUGAGCUUUUCUCUAGAGAAAGCAUCCCCGCAUGAAACCAUCCAUCCCUGUGGUCUGGGAUAAGUCACAGAGAUAGUUACAUUUUUGCUUUAGAGCAUGGAAAAACCAAGAAAUAAUAAGUCAGUGGGCCUGUUUGUGAAUUGGAAGUUACUCAAAAGACCAUUCCUGGCUUGUCCUGGAUCUCUUGGUUUGCUGGGAUGGCAAGAUCCAAGCCAGUAUCCAUCAGCCACAGUGGGAACUGUGAAGAGGCUAGUGGGGCACACGAAAUUUUUACAAAGAGAACAGGGACCCAGAGUAACUUGGAUAAGGAGAAGUCCACAAAUGGGGUGCGUAACUCUAAGUUGAAGUCUCUCUGGAGAUUAAGUAUUUAUGAAGCACUUUGUACCCACAAAGUGAAUUUCAAUAAUUUAUUAUCUAAACUCACAAUAUCACAAUAACAUGUAAGUAUUUGUGUUAUGGCUAAUGACCCUAACUUGAACUAUUGCCUGUAAGACAGGGGAUAUUUUCAUGCACUUGGGACCUGUUUUUAAUGCCAUUGUGAAGCAAGAUCAGGAUUUUUUUAGCUCAUACCUGAGUCUUGAUCCAGACCCAUCAUUACCAUGCAAGCCGAUAGUUCUCACCCAUGGCACUUCUGUGCUGGCUCCCCUGUUGUCAGUCAGCAGCGAAAGGUGAAUUUUUUCAUAUGAAUCCCUGACAACUCUUUCCUCUUUAUUCCACAGCGCUGUGAUUUGCCUUUGUGCAGCCCUUUGUGUUGUGAGAUGACCAGAUGACAUAUUCGUAUAUUGAUGAUUUUGAAUGUGUGCAUGGCUGAGAAGAUCAUACCAAUUAAUUUUCAUGCAGAAGUCAAGCAUGCCUUGCACAGGGCUCAUCCAUAGCCAAUCAGCCGUUGACUGUUAAUGGCCACCUGGAGUGCUGUGCUGAGGAUCAGAUCUUCUCAUGGCUGGCCCUGUCUCAUUGGUCAAGUUUCUCCCAAAUGGUGACUGCAGAGAGGACAUUAACCACCCUAGCUAAAGUGACAUCCCUCCCCCACACUCUAGGCCAUACUCUAGCUCCUUUCCUUGCUUAACUGUCUUUCUAGCACCUCUCAUUAUCUGAAAUGAUCUUUCUUUCCUGUGUGUUGUCUCUUCUUCUAGAAUGUGAGCUCCAAGAGGACAAGGACUUUGUCUCUCUUAUCCACUACGAUGUCUCUGUGCUUAUUAGAGAGCUGACAUGUAGGAAAAAACUCAAUAAAUAAAUAAAAA